CGUUUAUCUGGAUUUUCUUUUUUUACUUUUACUUUUAUUGGAAUUCAAAUCGACACAUACUUUUCUGAUAUCGCGUACAAAAUUAUUCUUCAUUUUAUUAUUUUAAAUUGGGUAUCAUUUCUGACUAACUGAAGACUUCAAACACCGGCUGACUAACGGAAAAAUGUGUAUUUCAUUCAUCGAUUGAACCGAUACCGCCCAGUUAGAUCAGCGCCCAUCAUUUUUAAGUCCAGACCACCUCCACCAUAACUUUUCGUACCGCUUCCACCCGACGAAAUACGAAAACUUAUUAAAAUCAAACCGUCACUACCCGUCUCCUCUGCUUAAGCUAUAUCUGCCGACUCAAAAAGGAUAAACCUCGCGAUCAGCGUCAUGUCUUAACCAACCAGCGAGUCCCGAUUCUUAUCUAUUUUGCGUUGUUAGCUCUGCAAAAGGAGAAACAACAAAUCAUGGAUGGUUCACUGCUAUCUCUACUCAAAACACCCAAGUUUCUUCAAAUACGUCUCGUUAUCGCCGUUAAACCGUUCCAUCGUUGACUAUGAUACUUUUGGUAAUGAAGUAGAGACACUACUCGUUUCGAUGAGGUAUUUAGAAUAUAGUAGCUGUACAAUGCAUAUAGCCAAAGAAGAAGCGACUUCUAUUCCAGGAAAAUCCUUCUCUCAAAAAGCGCGUACUUGCCUGGCCAACAUCACAGUGGAGCCAUUGAUAGUUUUAUAUUUAUUUCCGAGCGUCCUCUUAGCCAUGUCAGCCGCAAAUUUGCAUUUGGAAAAAGCUUGCCGUGUGAAAUUGCAACUUAAUGAAACAGUAUGUGACGCACUAACGGCUCGCAACGCAAGCGCAUAUACAAGCGAGCAAGAAAACUUAGUUCAGAAAGUGGUAACAGCAAUGAACGCGUGGAAAAGUAUAAUUCAAAGUGUUAUUCCGGCAUGUUUGCUACUCCUAUUUGGAGCAUGGAGCGACAAGCACAAUCGCCGGAAACCUCUGAUGGCGUUACCAAUAAUUGGAGAAUUUAUAACUGUGACCGGUUUCAUCUUCUGCACCUACUUUUUUUAUGAGUUGUCGAUGGAGUUCACUGGACUGGUGGAAACCGUGCCAAAUGCGUUUACCGGUAGUUGGUUUACUAUGUUCAUGGCAGUGAUGAGCCUAAUUGGUUGUACCUCGUCCCUUGAAUCACGCACAGUCAAAAUUGGGGCGGUUAAUAUACUCAUGAAUACCUGCAUCAUGCUCGGAUUGGGAUUAAGUGGAGCGUUGUAUCACGUAAUUGGAUCGUACGCAAUUUAUUGUUUCGCAUUGUCAAUGUAUACCAUUGGUCUUAUUUACCUUAAGAUUAGGAUCAAAGAGGCGAAGACCGAAGCUUCUGGUGAUGAAGGUUUGAAGAGUGACAGAUCCGGCACAUUUAAAGACUUUUUCAAUGUCUUACACAUUAAAGACACAAUCAUGGUUGCUUUUCGCCAGCGGAAGCGGAAUGAUCGUAAAAGACUUUUCGUAAUAUUGACAUUGACCAUUCUUGUUUUAGGACCGAUGUAUGGUGAAAUGCAGGUAGUAUAUUUAUUUACUCGAAAACAGUUCCAAUGGAAUGAAGUGGAGUUUAGCGCUUUUUUUAGUGUGAACAUCGUUCUGCACUGUGUAGGAACCAUAGUCGCUUUGGCGGUGCUCUCCAAAUACUUAAAGCUACGUGACACAACCGUUGGGAUGAUAUGUUACACUGGAAAAUUCUUUGCUGCGUUUCUAUACGCAUUCGCACGCACGCCUUUGUUAUAUUGUCUAGGAGUUUUUGUCGAAAUGCUCAGCAGCACCACGCAUAUUACUUUACGAUCAUUAGCAACAAAAUUAGUAUCAGAGGAUGAACAAGGUAAAUGAAACAUUGCAAGACCUAAGUCGAUUCCCUUCAGCUCCACCAAGUAGUGUUGCAUGUUCAAUUUGCGGAAAGUUAUUUGGAAGAACUUCAAUUAAGAUUCACGAACCACAGUGUCUGCAAAAACUACAAACCCAGAAUGAACUAUUGGCACCAGAAGAAAGGAAACAAUUACCCACACUACUAGCAGAUGACGUCAAGAAAUACAAACGCCCAACUUCAACAAAGCGACCGACAACUAUUCCCUGCUAUUUGUGUGGAAAAAUGUUUUCAAUGGCAUCUAUCUCGAUCCACGAGCCGCAAUGUCUCAAAAAAUGGAAAAUGGAAAAUGAGAAAUUGCCUUCACAUAAAAGGCAAUCUGAACCAAUUAAACCAGAUCUUAAACUUGGAGGCAAUGGACAGAUCGACUUUGAACAGAUGAAUGAUUUGUACUGGAAAAUGCAUUUAGAUCAACUAGUACCUUGUAAGGUUUGUGGCAGGAAAUUUAAUCCUAGCAGAGUAGAGAUUCACGAGCGUAGUUGCAAGGGUAAAGUGCAACAAAGUACCUAGCCAAUAGUGGCAAUAGUACCAUACACCUUUAUUAAGAGUUGCUCACUGUGGGUAUGAAUUCAUGUGCUCGUGCAUAUCCAACCUUCUAUACACUGAUGGGAAUUGCUGUAAAAUAAGUAGUGCAUACUUUUAGAAAACUUCAAAAAGGAGAAAGAAAGAUAAAUAAGUUUCAUUUUGUUGAACCGUCUGUUGUCUUCUUUAUUUUUGCCUUAAGUACAAUCUUCUUCCAUUAGGCAUAUGUACAAAUGCAUAAUCACAAAACUAUCGCAAAUGCAAUCAUAUUGGUUUAGUUUUGUAGCCUUAGGUAAGAACAUAUUUACACUAUUACGGCAAAUUCUGUUCUAAGGAAGAUAGUAAUAGCGGUUAGCCAUUUAAAGAUAGCACUACUUUCCCAGCCAAACUUCGUAUACUUAUUACAUAUUGCUUAGAUUUAGAAGGUAGAUACCUACCUAUAUCUAUAAAGGUGUGUGACAAGAGUAUUUUUGUAGUCAUAACAUGGUAUCUAUAAUUAUUAUAAAUGUUAUUUUUGGUGUGAAUAAAUGUUUUUAAAACAUGAAUC